rnacentral:rRNA from 1 species
CCUACGGGUGGCAGCAGUCGAGAAUCAUUCACAAUGGGCGAAACUCUGAUGGUGCGACGCCGCGUGGGGGAAUGAAGGUCUUCGGAUUGUAAACCCCUGUCAUGUGGGAGCAAAUUAAAAAGAUAGUACCACAAGAGGAAGAGACGGCUAACUCUGUGCCAGCAGCUGCGGUAAUACAGAGGUCUCAAGCGUUGUUCGGAAUCACUGGGCGUAAAGCGUGCGUAGGCUGUUUCGUAAGUCGUGUGUGAAAGGCGCGGGCUCAACCUGCGGACGGCAGAUGAUACUGCGAGACUAGAGUAAUGGAGGGGGAACCGGAAUUCUCGGUGUAGCAGUGAAAUGCGUAGAUAUCGAGAGGAACACUCGUGGCGAAGGCGGGUUCCUGGACAUUAACUGACGCUGAGGCACGAAGGCCAGGGGAGCGAAAGGGAUUAGAUACCCCAGUAGUC